rnacentral:lncRNA from 1 species
CCAAGCAUCACCCCCAAGGAUUCUUCCGAGGAGAGCUUGAGGCAGGAAGCAGCGGCAGCACACAAGAGGAAGAGCAUCUCGGACCUGGAGGAGUUCGAGAUGGGGUCGAGCUCCAGGAUGAGGCUCUCAGACGUCUCGGACGUGCAGCUGUGCGGCUCACCGUUGAUGAGCUUCACCUGAAAGAAAGGAGGGACCGAAUUGCAGGGGCUGAGUUGAUGUCAUUGCCGGUUAUGACUUGUGGGUUUAUCUUGUGUUGUUUCGUUUGUUGUUUGGUGUCAUAAUGUGUGUGCUCUUGUGGAGCUGGAGUUGAACCUGCCUUUGACUGUGAUCGAUCUGCCACAGCAUUUGUGGCCUUCUGCAACAUGUUAUUAUUGAAUAGCCUCUUUUAUGUAGUCACUGGUGUUCCUUGCUCUGCC